AAUAGCAACAAUGAUAAACCACUUAUUUCUAUAACUUGGAGCUCAUUUCACUUAGCAUCAUCUUAUGUGAUCAUACGUGCACAGCUAUUGAGCUAGUAUGAUCAUCUGUUAGGACUAUUCUAGAUAUUUACUAAUUAUUGCCAGUGAGAGAAACUAUAGAGUAUGUUUCUCUGGGUCUGGAUCACUUCACUUAGUAUGCAAAAUGAUUAUUU